UACGUAGGGGGGCUAGCGUUGUCCGGAUUUAUUGGGCGUAAAGAGCGUGUAGGCGGCCAGGUAGGUCUGCUGUGAAAAACUCGAGGCUCAACCUCGAGACGUCGGCGGAAACCAUCUGGCUAGAGUCCGGAAGAGGAGAGUGGAAUUCCUGGUGUAGCGGUGAAAUGCGCAGAUAUCAGGAAGAACACCCCGUGGCGAAGGCGGCUCUCUGGGGACGGUACUGACGCUGAGACGCGAAAAGCGUGGGGAGCGAAUAGG
rnacentral:rRNA from 1 species